AGAUGUGAGGGCAAUCUGGCUGCCACUUUUGUUACCCUAUUGAUCCCCAGGGUUGAUUUGGCUGAUCUGGCUGGCUAGGCAAGUGUCCCCUUCCUCCUCACUGCCCCAUGUGUGUCCUUCCCAAAGCUGAGUGCUGGGUGAAAGACUCUCAAUUAGGGAGGACCAUUGCCUUGGUCAAGUUUAUAUAAUUAGCUGUGCUCCCCUGCUAGAAUCUCCAAGCAAGCUCUCAAGUCCAGCUUGGGAAACUUGAUGAGAUCCUCUCUCAAAUACAAAAAUUACAGACAUGGUGUGAAGGCACACACCCUCAAUC
ensembl:misc_RNA 7SK 7SK RNA